GACAAGCAUUCAUUUGGUUCCCAACUUCUUGCUUUUUAUUCAUUCAACAAAUACUUGCUGUUCACUUACUAAGUGGCAGGCAGAGGACUAGAUGCUAAGGGCAUAAGUAGAUGUGUUAGGAGACACUUCCUGAAGCUUUUGUUUGCAGUGGAAAAAGUAGCCUUAAAGCCCUCUUAGUUCCUCUGUCUUCUACCAUCACUGAAUCCUGCCCCCUUUUCUAAUACUUAUCUCUCUUUUCCAGAUGCUGGUAUUGGCUCUGGUCAUCUCACCCCGUUUCCUGUCCAAUAUGUACAGUUCACAGACAGUGUCUUA
rnacentral:lncRNA from 1 species